rnacentral:rRNA from 1 species
ACGAUGAAGCCCAGCUUGCUGGGUGGAUUAGUGGCGAACGGGUGAGUAACACGUGGGUGAUCUGCCCUGCACUUCGGGAUAAGCCUGGGAAACUGGGUCUAAUACCGGAUAGGACCUCGGGAUGCAUGUUCCGGGGUGGAAAGGUUUUCCGGUGCAGGAUGGGCCCGCGGCCUAUCAGCUUGUUGGUGGGGUAACGGCCCACCAAGGCGACGACGGGUAGCCGGCCUGAGAGGGCGACCGGCCACACUGGGACUGAGACACGGCCCAGACUCCUACGGGAGGCAGCGGUGGGGAAUAUUGCACAAUGGGCGCAAGCCUGAUGCAGCGACGCCGCGUGAGGGAUGACGGCCUUCGGGUUGUAAACCUCUUUCAGUACCGACGAAGCGCGAGUGACGGUAGGUACAGAAGAAGCACCGGCCAACUACGUGCCAGCAGCCGCGGUAAUACGUAGGGUGCGAGCGUUGUCCGGAAUUACUGGGCGUAAAGAGCUCGUAGGCGGUUUGUCGCGUCGUCUGUGAAAACCCGCAGCUCAACUGCGGGCUUGCAGGCGAUACGGGCAGACUUGAGUACUGCAGGGGAGACUGUAAUUCCUGGUGUAGCGGUGAAAUGCGCAGAUAUCAGGAGGAACACCGGUGGCGAAGGCGGGUCUCUGGGCAGUAACUGACGCUGAGGAGCGAAAGCGUGGGUAGCGAACAGGAUUAGAUACCCUGGUAGUCCACGCCGUAAACGGUGGGCGCUAGGUGUGGGUUUCCUUCCACGGGAUCCGUGCCGUAGCUAACGCAUUAAGCGCCCCGCCUGGGGAGUACGGC